rnacentral:rRNA from 1 species
CCGACGGGUGGCUGCAGUGGGGAAUCAUGGUCAAUGGGCGAAAGCCUGAACCUGCGACGCCGCGUGAGUGAUGAAGGUCGUAAGAUCGUAAAACUCUUUUCAGGGAUCUUAAAGCACAACCGUCAACAACGGCUGUGUGUGACUCUCCCUGGAAGAAGCCCCAGCCAACUACGUGCCAGCAGCUGCGGUAAUACGUAGGGGGCGAGCGUUAUUCGGAAUUACUGGGUGUAAAGGGUAUGUGGGCGGCCCUUCAAGUCGCGUGUCAAAGUCCAGUGCUCAACGCUGGGUGUGCGCGCGAUACUGACGGGCUUGAGGGCGGGAGAGGUGAGCGGAAUUCCCGGUGUAGUGGUAAAAUACGUAGAGAUCGGGAGGAACACCAGCGGCGCAGGCAGCUCACUAGACAGUUUCUGACGCUAAGAUACGAAAGCGUGGGGAGCAAACA